UAAUGGUGGCUAUUAAAUGGGAGAAAAUAGCUCUGAGCCUCUCCUAGAGCAGUGUACAAUACCGUACAAGAUAUUAAACAUAGACGGUCUGAGGUUAUUAAUUCAAUAACCAGUACUUGCUAGGGCAAUGCAGCUUGCUAGGGCAACGCAUGCAAAAACUAGGGCAUUGAGUUUUGUUUCCUGCAAAUGUGAGGUGCUCAUCAAUUGCAUACCCUGCAGUAUGCUUCCAAACAUGGCUCCACAUCUAGAAUAUGUUGAAACCAAAAAGGUCAUUUUCUCAUAUCAAAUCUAUACCAUCAGAUGGGAGGGCACAUAAAAUUGUGAUCUUGGAAUACAUAUCAAAGUUUGUGCAGUAUUUUGCACCAAUAGUUGCCUUCCUCAAUUUGAAUUGAAGUUUAAGCAGUCAUUUCUAAGGAUAUAAAAGACAAUAUUUGCUAGUUGUCAGUUCAUAGAGUUCCUUCCAGUGGAGUGUUGUUGCAGAAGCUUAGAGUAACAGCUUCCCAUUGAUUUCUGCAGGAGAAUAAUAGAAGUGAAAGCUCAACAACUACAUAAUCCAGAAGCACCAGAUUGAGUUUCUCAAUGGUCUCAUCCAUUAAAUGGACUUGAAAAAUCAUCCACAAAACCGUAAACUAACUCAGCAGAGGGAAAGGGAAAGAGCAAUCCCUAUAGGCAGUAACUUCAGAUCAACUGCUAAUAUGAAAUUUAUCAAUGCAUGUUUCAUUUUUCCUACUGGCUUGAAACAAUUUAGAUACAGAAAUUGAGGG